UCCGACAGUGGGACAAACCAUUGCACCAGAUUCACCAGAUCUAGGUAUCACCUGUAGCAACUGACUUGGACAAGAUCCUGAUCUGCGAUUGUCGCCCCAUCCCCCAAUACAAUUUAUUAGAGAAACAUUUCAGCGUGCAAUUUAUGUCAUGCUGCGCAAAGCAUGAUGUUAAAAUAAACGUUUACAUUAUUUGGUUGCUCGCCACUUUCUACAUGUGCGCAUAGAUAUGGCGAUGCCGAUCAUGCAACAAUCUCAGCAACAAAAAAGUAGCGCUUUUAGUAAACAUCAAAAUACUUUGACAAACAUUCAUUAUAUGCGCAUGUCAAAAUUGUGCGAUAAUAUUAUAAUAUAAAUUAUGCACAUACGUACAUGUAUCAGUGAAAACGUGAUAAUAAAAUUACUCACCGAACGUGAAUCGGAUUGACGGAAUUACCGUCGUCGAAUACAGGAUUAUCCAUGGAAUAUGUUGCUGGUGGAGGUG